GCAGCAGGCGGGAAAGCUUUACAAUCCGGGAAGCCGUGAUAAGUGGGCGACGAGUGCCAGCAUCAUAAGCCGGCUGUUCGGGUGGGUAAAAUCCCCCCGUUAGCAAGGGCCGGGCAAGACCGGUGCCAGCCGCCGCGGUAACACCGGCGGCUCGAGUGGUGAUCGUGAUUAUUGGGUCUAAAGGGUUCGUAGCCGGUUUGGUCAGUCCUCCGGGAAAUCUGAUGGCUCAACCAUUAGGCUUUUGGGGGAUACUGCCAGUCUUGGAACCGGGAGAGGUAAGAGGUACUUCAGGGGUAGGAGUGAAAUCUUGUAAUCCCUGUGGGACCACCUGUGGCGAAGGCGUCUCACCAGAACGGGUUCGACGGUGAGGGACGAAAGCUGGGGGCACGAACCGGAUUAGAUACCCGGGUAGUCCCAGCCGUAAACGAUGCUCGUUAGGUGUCAGGCAUGGCGCGACUGUGUGUGGUGCCGCAGGGAAGCCGUGAAGCGAGCCACCUGGGAAGUACGGCCGCAAGGCUGAAACUUAAAGGAAUUGGCGGGGGAGCACAAGGGCGAAUUCGCGG
rnacentral:rRNA from 1 species